rnacentral:lncRNA from 1 species
CCCCGCCCCCGUGCGGCCCCCCGGCGCCCCCCAGCGUCCCGCAGUUGGCAGGGCUGGAGGCCGGCUACGCCUGCUUCUGCGGCCACGCGGGCGACCUGCGGCGGGGGCAGCGCGCCGGCACCGCCGAGUGCGACCAGGUGUGCUUCGGCAAGGCCAGCCAGCUCUGCGGAGGGGACGGCCGCCUCGCCGUCUACCACGCCUGGGUGGGCGCGUGCCGCGCCAACAGCUCGGCCCCCUCGGGGGUCGUUUACUCCCCCGGCUUCCCCGACGACUACGGCCCCGACGCCGACUGCGCCUGGCGCCUGGGGGGGGGCACGGGGACCCCGACGGGGACGGGGGCGGCGCUGGAGGUGACGUUCCGCCUGUUCGACAUCCGCGACCCCAACGACCGCCUGACCCUGCGCGACGCCCGCAGCCGCCGCCUCCUGGCCCAGUUCGNNNNNNNNNNUCCCCCCCCCCCGCCCCGCAGGGCCUUUGUUCCCGGGCAGGAGCUGGAGCUGAGUCCUCGCCACGAGCAGGCCAAGCAGCUGCUGCAGCGCGCCCGCAUGAAGGCUCGCACCAACCCGCUGCGCGCCAGCCACGACCUCCUGCUCCUCCCCGCCGCUCCGCGCCCCAGGUGAGUCCCAAAUCCGCGGCACCGGGGCACUGCACGAGGAUUUAGCACGGAAAACCCGCGGGCGUGCUUGGCAAAGGGGGCAUGCGCAGGGCCAGGGUCCCACCGGCUGCACCUUGUGCCCUCCCGGCCCCAGGAGCGCUCCCCUUGCUCAGGUGCACGUUGAGGCUUUGCUGCAGGAUAUUUUUGGGGUGAUUCGUGGUGUUUUGAGGCACUGGGGAGGGGGUACUGGGGGGAUACUGGGAGGGACUGGGAGAGACUGGGGGGAUAUUGGGGGAUACUGGUUGAUACUGGUUUAUACUGGGCGCUAUUUCCCCCCUAAAGGUGUGGCCGCGCCCCCCAGCGCCCCCAGCCCCACGGCGACCCCGAGCCCCCCAGCGCCCCACAGCACCCGAGGUGAGCAACGGGGGGGGGGCCCACAACUGACCCCAUAUCUAUGGGGCUGCCCCACACCCGGCCCCAUAAGUGGUGUAUCUGUGGGGCUGCCCCACAUCUAACCCCAUAUCUAUGGGGCUGCCCCACACCUGACCCCAUAACUGACCCCAUAUCUGACUCUAUCUAUGGGGCUGCCCCACAUCUAACCCCACAUCUAUGGGGCUGCCCCACAUCUAGCCCCAUAACUGACCCCGUAUCUAUGGGGCUGCCCCACACCUGACCCCAUUACUGAUUUUAUCUAUGGGGCUGCCCCACACCCAGCCUCAUAAGUGAUGUAUCUUUGGGGCUGCUCCAAACCUGACCCCAUAUCUGUGGGGCUGCCCCACAACUGACCCCACAACUGACCCCAUAACUGACUCUAUCUAUGGGGCUGCUCCCCAUCUAACCCCACACCUGACCCCGUAUCUAUGGGGCCGCCCCACAAGUGACCCCAUAAGUGCUGUAGUUAUGGGGCUGCCCCAUAAGUGCUGUAUCUAUGGGGCUGCCCCAUAUCUAACCCCACACCUGACCCCAUAACUGACUCUAUGGGGCUGCCCCACACCUGACCCUGUAUCUAUGGGGCCGCCCCACAAGUGACCCCAUAAGUGCUGUAGUUACGGGGCCGCCCCACACCUGACCCCUAUCUGUGGGGCCGCCCCACAAGUGACCUCAUAAGUGCUGUAGUUAUGGGGCUGCCCCACAUCUAACCCCAUAACUGACCCCAUAACUGACUCUAUCUGUGGGGCUGCCCCACACCUGACCCCAUAACUGACCCCAUAUCUGACUCUAUUUAUGGGGCUGCCCCACACCUGACCCCUAUCUAUGGGGCUGCCCCACACCCUGCCCCACACCUGACCCUGUAUCUAUGGGGCCGCCCCACAAGUGACCCCAUAAGUGCUGUAGUUAUGGGGCUGCCCCACACCUGACCCUGUAUCUAUGGGGCUGCCCCACACCUGACCCCUAUCUGUGGGGCCGCCCCCCAGCCGUGCUGAGCU